AGGUUGUGUUAGGGGCUCGUGACGACGCUCACUGCUCAAGACGGAACACCCAUCAAUACAAGAGUAGACGCUAGAAGUGCUGCUUUUGUUCAGGUUAUAUGUGCCUGGGGAUCAGCGAUGGAGCACACCCGUGCUGAGAGGCGGCCCCUGCGGACGCGCUGAGCACUCACUGGCUUCGAGGGUGCCGCAGCUCGAGCGUACCGAUCGAUAGCCUGUUCUUUCCGCAUAGACAACACAGCUGAUCGGUGCUGAUGUUCGCGUGUCAGCUAUGAAGCGCUGAACGCGUUCAAGUUCCAGAUCACGUGGCAUGUUCGCGUGCAAGUCCACGACGAACAGCCGGUUGGUAACGCGUAGAGCGGCACCGCUGGUGCUCGGCGUCGCUUCGGACGGUACCGUGCUGGCCUCCGGUGAGCAGCCAACGUGACCGAAACAGGCAUCAAAGGAAACUUCGACGAACUAGCGUAUUGCCUGGACAUUCACCACAAUAGAAAGGCGUUUUACUACUAUUUGGCGAAGCAAACAUUUCAUCUUCUUCCUGUUUGCAACUUGUGUGAAUCGAGUCAGUACAUAAAGACAGCCCUACGUCGCAAUUCGAAGAUGCUGCGACUCAAAACAGCUGAGCGUGAUUGAAACGAUACUGCCGAGCAUGACCCAGUUCCUGGCCGUCACGCUGAUCAUCUGGUGUGGAUACAGCGUAUUCGCGUUCGGUGAGCGGUGAUUCCGGACCAGCAAUGAGUCAUCGAUGGCGACAAGCGUAUUCUGGUUAGCGUCGUCAAUGGUGCGUCACCAGGGGACCGAUCGAAAGCACCAGUGGAGAGCGCAUAACGAGCGCUAAUGUCCAUAUGCCCGUUCAGAGCUUCGCUCGUUGCUGUCUGGGAGCCAUGGUUAUGCCGAGGAUGCAGCCCCAGAACGGAACCGUGCAUCCUGGAUCGCACCUGAAAGUCUGUCCAGCGAGCGAGCAAGAUGUAGAAUGACGAUGCCAACAACGUCCUUGCAGAUGCCUCUGAAUGUGCACUCAAGAACGUGCUACGCUUGUUUCUAACGGAUUCUGCAGACAAAACACCAGCGGCGCCAUGGGGAGCACCGCUUAGGGCAUCGCCCGCGCUCCGAUGUGUUCCGCGAGUCUCACUUGUACCACUGUAGACGAGCGAAGCGCACUCUGUUCCUGAUCCAAAGCUUCGCAUCAAGCGUACACGCUCGUCCGGAGAUGACCAUACAUCUGAAACUUCGGGUUAGUGCUCACGUGGACUCCGAUGUGUUCCGCGAGUCUCACUUGUACCACUGUAGACGAGCGAAGCGCACUCUGUUCCUGAUCCAAAGCUUCGCAUCAAGCGUACACGCUCGUCCGGAGAUGACUAUGCAUCUGAAACUUCUGGUUAGUGCUCACGUGGACUCCGAUGUGUUCCGCGAGUCUCACUUGUACCACUGUAGACGAGCGAAGCGCACUCUGUUCCUGAUCCAAAGCUUCGCAUCAAGCGUACACGCUCGUCCGGAGAUGACCAUACAUCUGAAACUUCGGGUUAGUGCUCACGUGGACUUGCGCUGGAGCGCAGGUGCAGAAGCGCGCGUUUGCAGGCCACUGCGUUACACUCCACGCUGUUUGAGCGUAUGUCCCGAUGCCGCUUCGCGUUCCAGACGAAGACAGAACCUUUGGUUGAUGCAUUCGGAACUGGCAUCUGGAUAUCCGGGACGUCCAACUGGUUUCGUGAUUACGUCUGGGAGAUAGCACGCUGCUCGCUUGUCCAACUGCCGCGCUAGCAUCCAUUCCCGCCAACAGCACCAUUGAGCGAUUCGUUGGGGCAUAUCGAGACGAGGCCUCCAGGCCUCUGUGUGUGUUGCGAAAUCCCAGUCCGUACGCAGUCUCGCCUCCGGGUCACAGAGGAAAUGCUCGAGGCACACCCCGGCGAACGAAAAGGAAACUGCGUUCAUCGGCUGACCGCGUUCAUCACAUGAUUCCCCAAUGAUCUGCACGAUGGUGUCAACAGAUGCUCAGAUGCAGCGAGUUCACCCGCCGUCGUACGACGGAAGCCCGGGUUUCCUGCAAACCGCGUGUUUGGAAUCAGGACCCGCUCAGAUUCAAAGCAAUGAUGCUCCGUCAAAGGACUCGGGCCCAGAGCGCUGGCACUCAGUCGACUCGUUCGACUCACGUCAUUUCCUGAAACUGGCGACGACGCAUCAGUUGCUCACCGGUUUCCGUGCAGACACCACUCUCUCUACAAAGCUGCUCCAGUUUCGAAACGAUGUCUGUGAACUUUGGUCGACUAGCGGGGUUCAUUUGUGAAGCCGCUGCAUAGAGCGCUUGCAGGCUCGGGUGCGUCUCCGGCGGCAUCGGAAGCACCUCUUCCAGGUAACCGACUCGAUAGACUACCUGGGUCUGCGUCAGAUGCUCCCAGGGCUUGCGUCCAGUCACCAGCUCCCACAGUAUAACACCGAAGGAGAAUAUAUCAGCGCUCUCACUGACCCGGUCCUGGCGAAUGACCUCGGGAGCCAUCCAUUCGGGAGUUCCCGCGAUUCCGGUCGAAAUAUACGACCUGAGCUGCGUCCUGCUGAGUCCAAAGUCAAUGAGCUUCACAUCAAUUUCCGCAAAAUCCUCAUCCGAACGAAUCGGACCGCCAUACACCUGCACGGUGGCCUGCGGCGACGAUAGCGCCGAACGUUGCACCGCGUUCGUGUCCCCGGCACCUUCAUCCUGUAUUGUACUGGUCGCCGAGAACACCAAGCAAUUCGGAGACUUGAGGUCCCGGUGCACGACUAUAGGCCUCUGCGCGUGCAGGUACCGCAUCCCACGCGCUAUUCCCAGGGCAAUGCGUAGAAUCCCACACCAGGGCAGAUGACUCGUCACCACGGUCUCGCCGGUGGGUUCACCCGUAUUCGGAUCAAGUCGUCUCUGGCGACGUUUCUGGAGUAAGCGAUACAGCGUGCCUCCAUGUACGUAUUCGCUCAGGAUGCAAAGAUUCGGAGGCGUGAUACAGGCUCCGAUAAAACGGACA